AUGCCUGAACAAUAAAGCAAGAAAUAUGCUCAACGUAAAUCAUACAAGUAUGCAAGUUCUUUGUUCUUUACUCUUUAUUCUUUAAUCUUUGUUCUUUGUUCUUUAAUCUCACGGCUAACCCGGGGGUUUCGCCACAUUAACUUGCCCACAUUAAGUCCAUCAUCGCGGGCCCUCAGCUGCCUCCCGCUAAGACCGUCCUCGGGUUGACUCCAACCCGUGAUGCAAAACUCCGGAGCGCAUCGCUCGAGAGGGAGCCACCGCCCUCGAGCACGGAACGCAUAGC
rnacentral:lncRNA from 1 species